CCUACGGGGGGCAGCAGUGGGGAAUAUUGGACAAUGGGGGCAACCCUGAUCCAGCCAUGCCGCGUGUGUGAAGAAGGCCCUCGGGUUGUAAAGCACUUUCAGUGAGGAAGAACGCCUGGUGGUUAAUACCCAUCAGGAAAGACAUCACUCACAGAAGAAGCACCGGCUAACUCCGUGCCAGCAGCCGCGGUAAUACGGAGGGUGCGAGCGUUAAUCGGAAUUACUGGGCGUAAAGCGCGCGUAGGUGGCUUGAUAAGCCGGUUGUGAAAGCCCCGGGCUCAACCUGGGAACGGCAUCCGGAACUGUCAAGCUAGAGUGCAGGAGAGGAAGGUAGAAUUCCCGGUGUAGCGGUGAAAUGCGUAGAGAUCGGGAGGAAUACCAGUGGCGAAGGCGACCUUCUGGACUGACACUGACACUGAGGUGCGAAAGCGUGGGUAGCAAACAGGAUUAGAUACCCCUGGUAGUC
rnacentral:rRNA from 1 species